UUUAAAUAGUCGAAAAUAGCUCUCAUUUUCACUUUAACAGACUGCGUCAGAUCCAUACUUAAAAGUCAUGGAAAAACAUUGGAAAGUCAGGGAAAAGUCAGGGAAUGGAAAAAAAUAAUUUGGCUGGCAACCCUGUUAAAAGUCAGGGAAAAAUAUUGGAAAGUCAGGGAAAGUCAGGGAAUGGAAAAAAAUAAUUUGGCUGGCAACCCUGUGCAAAAUCUAUGAAAUAAUUUGAGUUUCUUUUCUGAAUGUAGAAUUGCCUCUCAGCAGAACCUUUAAGUGGGAAAUUCAUCGGUUGAUACCUUUCCAUGAAAAUGCGUCCAAUUAUAACUGACAGUCAUAAAUAGUGAGGUAUUUGCAUGAAAUCGUGGACGGACGACCGACAAUCGACUUGCAUGUGUCGUCAUUUAACGAGCCAUCCCCACUCGGGUUUUACUCGGAGCAGACAAGAGCCGUUUCGCCGACAUAACUACUGUUUUAGUGGCUCAUUAAAUAAUUGAUGAUUCUCCGUGCAUUUAUUGCAAAUAGAGGACUGGAGGGUAAAAAACUCGCGUUCCAUUCUAGCUCUUUAGAGGUGCUUCAACUACUUCAUGUAUUGUAGGUUGACGGUCACAUUCUGUCCAAAAAAAAACAAAAAACACUAAAGCUUAACCAGUAAAUAUACCUAACCGAUAGUAUUUUAGGGAAUUAACUUCUGGGUCAAAUAUUUACUCAAGUGUAAGUAAAGGACAUUACUCUGUGUUUUCCAGAGCAAAAAUACCGCUCGCAAAAACAAUAAACCCUACCACUUAAACGGUGCAUUCAAUGCUCGAUGUAAACUUUGCAUAAACGAACGUGGCUAGUCACUAAAAAUACUACUACAGUACUAUGAAUUAUAAUUUAUAUAUAGUACUUUAAAAGCCGAAGACUUGCUCCCCGGUUGACGAAUGACCGAUUUUUGUGCCAGAAAUCGAAGAAAUCGAAACGAGGAUACAGGAAUGUGAGAGUGGGCUUGAAAUAUAAAAACGUUACCUUUCUUUUUGUUAAUUCAAGAACUUCGUUCCUACGAAAAAUAAGAUGUUCCAGAUCAUUUGUCCCGUCUCGAUGAGAUUCUGACUCUGGGGUCAUUACAAGAAUUCAAUCGGGGGCAACAGGAAUUUCGUUC
rnacentral:lncRNA from 1 species